rnacentral:tRNA from 1 species
UCCUGGUGGUUCAGAUGUUAAAGAGACCGCCUGCAAUGCAGGAGGUCCAGGUUCAAUCCCUGGAUCAGGAA